rnacentral:rRNA from 1 species
GACGAACGCUGGCGGCGUGCUUAACACAUGCAAGUCGAACGGAAAGGCCCUGCUUUUGUGGGGUGCUCGAGUGGCGAACGGGUGAGUAACACGUGAGUAACCUGCCCUUGACUUUGGGAUAACUUCAGGAAACUGGGGCUAAUACCGGAUAGGAGCUCCUGCUGCAUGGUGGGGGUUGGAAAGUUUCGGCGGUUGGGGAUUGACUCGCGGCUUAUCAGCUUGUUGGUGGGGUAGUGGCUUACGAAGGCUUGUACGGGUAGCCGGCCUGAGAGGGUGACCGGACACAUUGGGCCUGAGAUACGGCCCAGAAUGCUACGGGAGGCAGCAGUGGAGAAGAUUGCACAAUGGGCGGAAGCCUGAUGCAGCAACGCCGCGUGCGGGAUGACGGCCUUCGGGUUGUAAACCGCUUUCGCCUGUGACGAAGCGUGAGUGACGGUAAUGGGUAAAGAAGCAACGGCUAACUACGUG